UACGUAGGGGGCAAGCGUUAUCCGGAUUUACUGGGUGUAAAGGGAGCGUAGACGGCCAUACAAGCCAGAUAUGAAAGGCGGGGGCUCAACCCCCGGAUUGCAUUUGGAACUGCGUGGCUGGAGUACCGGAGGGGUAGGCGGAAUUCCUAGUGUAGCGGUGAAAUGCGUAGAUAUUAGGAGGAACACCAGUGGCGAAGGCGGCCUGCUGGACGGUAACUGACGUUGAGGCUCGAAGGCGUGGGGAGCAAAC
rnacentral:rRNA from 1 species